rnacentral:piRNA from 1 species
UGGUGAUGAUGACGACAGUGAC